CCUCACACUCACACGAAAACACUUCUUAUUGUUACAAAAAAAACACAAAACACUCUCCUUCGUUGUCUUCACCGCCGUUUCCUUCACCACCGAUUCUUCACCGCCGUUUCCAUCACCACCGCUUCUUCACCUCUGUUUCCUUCUCCGAUCAUUACCGUAACUGAUUUCUUCAUCACAGUUUCCUAUCACGCCUAAUCUACUCAUUUUCUUCAUCAACCCUAAUCCCUAAAUCGUUUUCUUCAUUCCUUAAAUAGCAAAAUCGCAAACUGGUUCGUUGCUCUCAUUUCAAAACAAGAUAAUGAAUGGGGUUUGGAUGAGUAGAUCUGCUUCAUACAUUUAGCUACUUGCCUUGUGAUCUUAAUUUCAUCGAUCAUACUAGUGACAUUGGAUGGAAAGAACACCAGUGUGCGAGGCCGACAAUUGUUGAUCCGGGGUAGUAAAUGAAUAAGAAGUAAGAUGUGUUUUGUGUUACAUAGACGAGAAGUAAACCAACUGCUUUCAAACUUUUCACAGCCAAUUUCUUAAGUCUGCUGCCAAAUUUUAACCCUGCUGCUGAUUUUGUAACUCUGCUACCGUUUUCGUAAUUGAAUAAGAAGAAUCGAGAAAUGAUUAAGGAUCAUGAAGCAACAUAACAUACUAGGGAUUGCUUUUUUUCCUUUUAGAGUUUCAAGUUAUUUAAUUAAAUUUUUUAUGUAUGAAUGUUGUCACUAUUAAAUUAAUUAUAUGAAUGAAAU